UAAUACGGAGGGUGCAAGCGUUAAUCGGAAUUACUGGGCGUAAAGCGCACGCAGGCGGUUUGUUAAGUCAGAUGUGAAAUCCCCGAGCUUAACUUGGGAACUGCAUUUGAAACUGGCAAGCUAGAGUCUUGUAGAGGGGGGUAGAAUUCCAGGUGUAGCGGUGAAAUGCGUAGAGAUCUGGAGGAAUACCGGUGGCGAAGGCGGCCCCCUGGACAAAGACUGACGCUCAGGUGCGAAAGCGUGGGGAGCAAACAUGAUUAGAUACCCUGGUAGUCCACGCUGUAAACGAUGUCGACUUGGAGGUUGUGCCCUUGAGGUGUGGCUUCCGGAGCUAACGCGUUAAGUCGACCGCCUGGGGAGUACGGCCGCAAGGUUAAA
rnacentral:rRNA from 1 species